rnacentral:rRNA from 1 species
CCUACGGGAGGCAGCAGUGGGGAAUUUUGGACAAUGGGCGAAAGCCUGAUCCAGCAAUGCCGCGUGAGUGAAGAAGGCCUUCGGGUUGUAAAGCUCUUUUGUCAGGGAAGAAACGGUGAAAGCUAAUAUCUUUUGCUAAUGACGGUACCUGAAGAAUAAGCACCGGCUAACUACGUGCCAGCAGCCGCGGUAAUACGUAGGGUGCAAGCGUUAAUCGGAAUUACUGGGCGUAAAGCGUGCGCAGGCGGUUUUGUAAGUCUGAUGUGAAAUCCCCGGGCUCAACCUGGGAAUUGCAUUGGAGACUGCAAGGCUAGAAUCUGGCAGAGGGGGGUAGAAUUCCACGUGUAGCAGUGAAAUGCGUAGAUAUGUGGAGGAACACCGAUGGCGAAGGCAGCCCCCUGGGUCAAGAUUGACGCUCAUGCACGAAAGCGUGGGGAGCAAACAGGAUUAGAUACCCUGGUAGUCCACGCCCUAAACGAUGUCUACUAGUUGUCGGGUCUUAAUUGACUUGGUAACGCAGCUAACGCGUGAAGUAGACCGCCUGGGGAUACGGUCGCAAGNUUAAAACCGNAAAGAGUAGACGNGNGAGAGAGCGACGAGACGACGAGGAGGAGG